rnacentral:tRNA from 2 species
UCUAAUAUGGCAGACUAGUGCAUUGGAUUUAAACCCCAAUUAUAAAGAUUGCUCUUUUUUUAGAA